AUUGAAAGCUGGCGGCAGGCCUAACACACGAAAGUCGAGCGGAUGAGGGAAGCUUGUUUCCCGAUUUAGCGGCGGACGGGUGAGUAAUGCCUAGGAAUCUGCCUAUUAGUGGGGGAUAACGUUCAGAAAGGAAAGCUAAUACCGCAUACGUCCUACGGGAGAAAGUGGAGGAUCUUCGGACCUCACGCUAAUAGAUGAGCCUAGGUCGGAUUAGCUAGUUGGUGAGGUAACGGCUCACCAAGGCGACGAUCCGUAGCUGGUCUGAGAGGAUGAUCACCCACACUGGAACUGAGACACGUUCCAUACGCCUACGGGAGGCAGCAGUGGGGAAUAUUGGACAAUGGGCGAAAGCCUGAUCCAGCCAUUCCGCGUGUGUGAAGAAGGUCUUCGGAUUGUAAAGCACUUUAAGUUGGGAGGAAGGGUUGUAAGCUAAUAUCUUGCAGCUUUGACGUUACCAACAGAAUAAGCACCGGCUAACUCUGUGCCAGCCGCCGCGGUAAUAC
rnacentral:rRNA from 1 species